GUGCCCUGGCCACAGCCAGAACCGCUCGCGCUCCGCCGCUGAACGAUCGCCAUGGCUCUGGUCGGCAUACUGCUGGCAGCCCUGGCCGUGGGCCUGCUGCUGUAUCUGCUGUUCGUCACUUUCUCCAGGCCUGACAACUUCCCACCAGGGCCGCCUCCGAUGCCGAUAUGGGGCAACUACGUGCAGAUGCUGCUGUUCAACUACAAGUACCCAUACAAGGUGCUGGACCUGCUGACACGCCUCUACAAGAGCAAAGUGAUCGGCUUCUACUUCGGGGACAUGCCCGCCGUCGCUGCCUGCGACUACGAGUCGGUCAAGGAGGCGCUCAACAACCCGCACCUACAGGGACGCGUCGUCAACAUCGGGCUCGACCACAGGAUGUUCGGCAAGAAACUAGGCAUCUUCUUCACGGAUGGCCCCCAGUGGCUGGAGCAGCGGCGGUUCUCGCUGAGGAACAUGCGGGACUUCGGGUUCGGCCGUCGCUCUGAGAAGCUGGAGGCCGAAUUGGGGGCGGAGUUGCGAGACCUGGUGGAGUUGAUCCGCGGGGGCCGCGAAGACCAGGCGGUGGUGCGUCCGUCGUCAGGUGCGAGCAGCGUGCUGCUACCGGAGGCGCUGGCGCCAGGCUUCAUCAACGGGCUGCUGCACGUGUACACGGGCGCGCGGCUGCCGCGCUCCGCGGACUCCACGGCUCGCAUGCUGGGGCGUGCGGCGCUGCAGUUCACCAAGGCCAGCGACACCACGGGCGGCUUCCUCACGCUGCACCCCUGGCUGUCGUGGCUGGCGCCGCGCCUCUCCGGCUACCGGGACCACGUCCAGAGCUCCGAGAAGAUGCGUCUCUUCCUGGAGCAAUCUAUUGAAGAACACAAGAAGACGUACUCCGACGAAUACAUGCGGGACUUCAUCGACUCGUACCUGCGGGAAAUUGAAGAGCGAGAGAAGAUUGGAGAACCGACAGCAUUUACCUCAGAGCAGCUGUCCCUGAUUCUGCUGGAUUUCUUCUUCCCGGCUGCCUCUGUGCUAUCAGCCACCUUGACGUGGGCACUCAUCUAUGUGGUUCACAACCCAGAAGUGAUGAGGAAGGUGCAGGACGAAUUGGAUGCAGUCGUGGGCCGCGGGAGGCUACCCACGCUAGACGAUCGGCCCAACCUGCCAUAUACAGAAGCAACACUACGGGAGGUGAUGAGGAUUCGAACCGUCACCCCCAUCUCUGUACCCCAUAAGGCCAUGGAAGACACCACCCUCCAGGGUUAUACUGUGCCCAAAGGAACCGUUGUGAUAACAUGCUUAAUUAGCAUGCACAUGGAUGGAGAUCUGUGGGGUGAUCCAAACAACUUCAGACCUGAGAGGUUUUUGGAUACUGAUGGAAAACUCAGCAAGAAAGACUUUACCCUGCCAUUUGGGGCUGGUAAACGGCUGUGUGCUGGAGAGACUUUUGCCCGCCAGAAUUUGUUUCUCACAUUCUCGACACUCCUGCAGAACUUUUCAGUCAAGCCAGAUGGCCUGCCUCUGCCAGACAGCAACAUUCCAGGCAUCAUCGAGACAGCUCCUGCAUUCUGGGCACGGUUUGUGCCUCGCUGAUAGGACAUAUCACAUUCCCAGGUGAACAUCCACAAUGAAAAUACAGGCAUGAGGCAAGAGGUAACUGGACUGAUUCCUACGGCAAUACUCAGGAUUUUGAAGAAUAUGCCAAUGCAACAGAUCGCACCCAUCUAUGUGCUUCACAUAAAGGAUACUAAUAUUUGGAUGAAUAUGUUUGUGGAUGUUCAACACAAAGCUGCAACCUAGGACAAUGUUAAUAUAAAAUUAAUUCAAAAUUUUGCCAGUAUGUUCUUGGACACUGCCAGGUUGGCAAUUUUUUUAUAAAUUUAUAUAUCAUCAUUGGUGAUAAAAGUAUUUUCACAGGAAAAGUUUCACAGGCCAGCAGAUGGCAGUUUCCAUCAAAAGAAAAUGACUGUCACUUUGGUGGAGAACUAUUUUAUGUGUUUCUAAUAGUCAUACAUUUGUAAUAUUUAUGAAUAA